rnacentral:rRNA from 1 species
UACGAAGGGUGCAAGCGUUACUCGGAAUUACUGGGCGUAAAGCGUGCGUAGGUGGUUUGUUAAGUCCGAUGUGAAAGCCCUGGGCUCAACCUGGGAAUGGCAUUGGAUACUGGCAGGCUAGAGUGCGGUAGAGGGUAGCGGAAUUCCCGGUGUAGCAGUGAAAUGCGUAGAUAUCGGGAGGAACAUCCGUGGCGAAGGCGACUACCUGGACCAGCACUGACACUGAGGCACGAAAGCGUGGGGAGCAAACAGG